UACAGAUUUUUAAUGUUGCCUCAAAGAUUAAUCGCACAGACCUGGAAUACUUAGAGAUGUUUCUGGACAUGGCCCAACAGGUCGGAGAGGUUCUUGACUUGGAUCCUAUUCAGCAUCUGGAUAUCCUGGUACGUGAUUGGGAAUGGUCUGAAAAUUACAGCAAGGAUUCUGGGAAGGAAUAUCUGCUGGAGACCAAAA